ensembl:lncRNA
UAGCUGGAUAAUGCAUGUGAGAUUGCAGCAGUCUUUUCCCAGUAGAAGACUCCUUGUUAAUUUAAAACCGGGCCUUACUAGGUUGGUUUGGAUUUAAUGCAAUCCAGUAUUUCAGCGGAGCAAACACUUAAUCAUUAACCACUUGUAAUGCCUAUUAUGAGGGUUGGGUUUGCACAGCCAAAUAAGCCGCAAGCCUUGUUUUCAAGGAGUUCAGCAUCCAGCAUGGCCACCUGAGCUGUGUGCAGCCCCCUUAAGUGCAGCUGCAGGAGAGACCCCCCCAAGGAGGAAGCCCUGACCUGGGACGCGUCACUUCAGGUGGGCCUUGUUUCUCAGUAAAAGUUCUUGGAUCUUGAGACUCUUCUGAGGAGCCUGCAAAAGGUAAAAUAGGGAUUUAAAAGUAUUUGGAGGUACAAAUGGGGAGUAUCUGAAGAUUUCAUUAUGUUGAUUUAAAAAAGAUCCCUGCAUGAGAGUUGGGAGUUAAAUUUUAUUUGGGGCAAAAUGAGGACUGCAGCUUAGGAAACUGCACCUCAGAAAGCUCUGAGAAACUGCUCCCAAGAGGUGGGCUGUGAGGGGGGUGAGGUCAAUAUAUGUGAUUUUGGUGAAGGAGGGAGUUCAUGCAGUCAAGCACUUAUCUUACAAAAAGGUUUUCUGCUGAUGUCACCAUGGAAGGAUUUAGUGCUUUUUCUAGAUAUGAGAAGAUGCAAAGAUUGGGCUCAUAAAUUCAGUUCCUGAAACUAUUUAACUGUCUAAAGACCUGUUCCAUCAGAUUUCCUGGAGCACAAAAUGCCGCAUUCCUAUUAUCUAUCCUGAACUCCCUUGAGGACGUGUCAAAGGUCAACAGCUGAAGCAGCGCAGGAUUCUAUCCCUGCAGAGGCAGAUGGCAACCUUGGCCAGCACUAAUUUGUCUUUGAGAGGACUCCCUCAUGGUUAUAAGUCCCACCCUGCUUUGGGAGGGAUUUCAUGACCAUCUUGUCCCACAGCGCUAGGAAAUCCCAUUCCUAGAUCUGGUGAAGAGGCCUAUCUGCUGAUAGGCCUCUCAGUGUCCUGGACUAGGUCUUAAUAGGUCAAAAGUACAAGUAACAUAGCUGGCAGUAUUAUUAAAGUCAUAAGUGAAAAUUAAGCCAGAAACUUCCACUAGGCGCAGUCCAGUAUAUCCUUAGGUUGACUUAGUCUAUU